rnacentral:rRNA from 1 species
UACGGGGGGGGCAAGCGUUGUUCGGAAUUACUGGGCGUAAAGGGGACGUAGGCGGCCAACUAAGUCCGACGUGAAAUCCCAAGGCUUAACCUUGGAACUGCGUCGGAUACUGGAUGGCUUGAAUUCGGGAGAGGGAUGCAGAAUUCCAGGUGUAGCGGUGAAAUGCGUAGAUAUCUGGAGGAAUACCGGUGGCGAAGGCGGCAUCCUGGACCGACAUUGACGCUGAAAGCCGAAAGCUAUGGGAGCAAACGGG